rnacentral:rRNA from 1 species
CUACGGGCCGCUCCAGUGAGGAAUAUUGCACAAUGGGGGGAACCCUGAUGCAGCAACGCCGCGUGGAGGAUGACGCAUUUCGGUGUGUAAACUCCUUUUAUAUGUCAAGAAAAUGACGGUAGCAUAUGAAUAAGCACCGGCUAACUCCGUGCCAGCAGCCGCGGUAAUACGGAGGGUGCAAGCGUUACUCGGAAUCACUGGGCGUAAAGGACGCGUAGGCGGGCUUGUAAGUCAGGUGUGAAAUCCUACAGCUUAACUGUAGAACUGCACUUGAAACUACGAGCCUAGAGUAUGGGAGGGGGAGAUGGAAUUAGUGGUGUAGGGGCAAAAUCCGUAGAUAUCACUAGGAAUACCUAAAGCGAAGGCGAUCUCCUGGAACAUAACUGACGCUAAGGCGUGAAAGCGUGGGGAGCAAACAGGAUUAGAUACCCCAGUAGUC